rnacentral:rRNA from 1 species
AGUGAACGCUGGCGGCAGGCCUAACACAUGCAAGUCGAACGGCAGCACAAGAGAGCUUGCUCUCUGGGUGGCGAGUGGCGGACGGGUGAGGAAUGCAUCGGAAUCUCCCCAUUUGUGGGGGAUAACCUCGGGAAACCGGGACUAAUACCGCAUACGACCUACGGGUGAAAGCAGGGGAUCUUCGGACCUUGCGCAGAUGGAUGAGCCGAUGCCGGAUUAGCUAGUUGGGGGGGUAAAGGCCCACCAAGGCGACGAUCCGUAGCUGGUCUGAGAGGAUGAUCAGCCACACUGGGACUGAGACACGGCCCAGACUCCUACGGGAGGCAGCAGUGGGGAAUAUUGGACAAUGGGCGCAAGCCUGAUCCAGCCAUGCCGCGUGUGUGAAGAAGGACUUCGGGUUGUAAAGCACUUUUGUUGGGAAAGAAAAGCAGCCGGUUAAUACCCGGUUGUCAUGACGGUACCCAAAGAAUAAGCACCGGCUAACUUCGUG